rnacentral:tRNA from 1 species
GCGGGUAUAGUUUAGUGGUAAAACCCUAGCCUUCCAAGCUAAUGAUGCGGGUUCGAUUCCCGCUACCCGCCUAU